UACUGGUGUAACCGUUAAAGUUAGAACUGUCGAUAAUUAGGGUUAAAUCCCUAAAUUUAGAAAACUGACUCUCCUUCAGUGAGUACUGCUGUUUACUGAAAGGUAAAAUAUUGUUAGCAUGGUGUAGCUGAUAGGGUGGGUAAGCUCCAGCUGGUGGGUGCUCUCUGCUUCCUCAGUCUUACUGGGUCACCCAGUCUGCCUUCAGGAAGCACUUCAGGUUAGUUAAUUCCAGGUGGGGCACUCAUACCAUUGUUCCCAGGAAACUAGCAAUAUUAAACUUUGUAAACCAAGACCUUAGAUGGUCCAUGAAGUCCUUCCAAGUGUUGCUUUCUGUUUAACUCCCUAUCCCAGGUCAAGCCAGCCCUACAGGCAGUCACUGGGGGUAUAUCCUCAGUUGUUUCAGCUUCUUUUUUGUAAGUAAGGAAGAGAAAUCUACUCUAAUUAAUUCAAAUAAAAGGGGUGGGGACAUGUAAUAGUAAAGACCUCACAAAAUCAAACAUAGUCAGGCUUCAUGGGAAAUCAGACUAUAACUGAAGCUAUCAGGAACCAAGAAAUCCAUAUUCUUCCUUUUUCUGUCUCGCUGGGGCCAAGCGGUGUCUCCUCUUCCUUUCUCUUAGCCCAUCCACUCCAUUUUCCUCUUUCAUGUAGCCAGCACAUUAAUGCACAUGUUCCCAAAAUAGCAGACAGCCUCCAAGUUUGUAUGACCUAAUCAGCAUAGCUACCUUCAGGCUUUAGGUGUCUGAUCAAAAUAUUUGAGAGGGGUAAGAAUGAGGGGAGAGAGACAGAAUAUGAUGUGAUACAGGGAGGCCAGUGGACUAUUUUACCUCAGGUAGCUAUCUUUGAUCCAUCAACCUUGGCCUUAGGGCUCCUGGAUGUUAAAGAUCAGUCUUAUUCAUCACAGCAAAGAAAAUGGGAGAUGACAAGUGAAGCAAACUGGAGAUCAAUGACAUUUGAAAAUAGUAACAAUUACUACAUUUUCAUACUCCUUGACAUUUUCUCUUUGUAUGCGAGCUAGAUUUUAUGAUGUUCAGUUGGAGCUUCAACACUUUGUAGGAGCAAUACUGGUAUGAAAGAGAUGAUUUCUUCUCUGCCAUGUGAGGAUCUGGCAAUAUUGCUGCCAUCUGCAAAUGAGGAAGAGGGCUCUCACCAGAUACCAGAUCUGCUGGCACCUUGGUCUUGGACUCCCCAGUCUCCAGAACUAGAGAGAGACAGAGUGCGAGCAAGGGAGAGGCUGAGAAAGAGGGAGACACAGAAUCUGAAGCAGGCUCUCAGGCUCCGAGCUGUCAGCACAGAACCCCAUGCGGGGCUUGAACUCACAAACCCCAAGAUCAUGACCUGAGCCGAAGUCAGAUGCUUAAUGGAAUGAGCCACCCAGGUGCCCCUUGAAGGGCCUGUGGAGAGAAGAUGUGGUUGUACCAUGCAGGAACUGGGUACUUUGGAGUCCUUUGGCUUCGUAGCAUGCCCAUUAUUCCAAUGAGGGUCUCCAGUUGUGGUUGUCUGGUUUUGAACUGCUGUUACCUGCCCUGAACCUCUCCGUGGCCAGGCUCUAAUGAAGACCAUCUUUUUCUGAUGUAUACAAAGGUACCCUUAAGGCUUGUUUUCUGAUCUAAUAGCAAAUCCUGUGUAAGCUAGCAACAGUGACGAUCCCAUUGGGUAUACAGAUUCUGACCCUGUGUCCCAGUUUCCUAGGACUGAAAAACAAUCAAAAGAGUUAUUUUGAGUGCUCACUUUGGCAGCACAUACACUAAAAUUGGACUGAUACAGAGAGAGUUAGCAUGAUUAGUGCUUGCCAGUGGCUGGGAUGGGGGUGGGUGAAAUGGGCAAAGGGAGUCAAAAAGUACAAACUUCCCAUUAUAAAAUAAAUAAGUUGGGGAUGUAAUGUACAGCAUGGUGACUAGAGCUAAUAAUACUGUAUUGCAUAUUUAAAAGUUGUUCACAAGUUAAAUCUUAAAAAUUCUCAUCAUAAGAAAAAAAAUUCUAUAACUAUGGAUGGUGUUGGAUGUUAACCUGACUUCUGUGAUCAUUUUGCAGUAUAUACAAAUAUCCAAUCAUUAUGUUGUACACUUGAAACUAAAAUAAUGUUGUGUGUCAUUUAUACCUUAAUCAUAAAAAAAAAAAAAAAAAAAAGAAUUACUUUGACAGGGGAAGAUAAGUCAGUCCUUAGUCAUGCAAAUAAGACUUUUGCUCUUCCCUGAAAAUGGAGUUCUUCUGCUGGAAGCCUUUUGUGCAUCUCACACGUAUGGCCUCCUCCUCCUACUAAUUUGCCAGACUUGUCUGGAUCUGUUUGAAUUGAAGUAGCAGACCCAGUUUGAGUGCAUUGCCAGAGGCCCCUCAGGCUUCUGCAAGGCCUGCCCCACCAGUUUGACAAACAUGCUCAGGCAUACUUGAACUCCACCAUGGACAAUAGAUUUCCCGCUAUACAAGUAAAGCAGGGGAGCAGGAAAAGAAAUGGUGGUCAAGGAAGGAGAAUGAAAGGGCAUGACCUGGUGCUGCUGCCUGCCUUAGGUCCUCUUUUGAUUGGCAUUUUGGUGGUUAAUUCGGCAAUAAAAAUUGCUGUACACCCACUUGCCUGCCUUUCUUCUCUCCACAUCUUAGACCAUAAACUCUUUAGGGGUCCAGCUCCUUCCUGGCUUAGGUGUAGUGUUUACCAAAAAUGCUUAGGAAGCUUUUUUGACAAUUAAAAAAAAAAUUUUUUUUUUCUUCCUACACAAGGAGGAGUGACCAAAAAUGAACUUAGAUGUGAAACUGAAGCAAACAAAAAAGCUUUUCACUUUGCUUUGAACUGAGGACUUUGUUAAAGGAGCAAGGCUCUUUCUGCAUUGAUAUAAUUCUACCGCAGCCAGUUUCACCAGGUCUGUCCAAUGACUGUCGUAGGCCUGGAUCAGCUGUGCUGUGUAUACAACAUGGCAUCACUAAUUCUCGCUGCUAGCUUCGGCUCAGACACAAUGGAAAACAACUCCCCAAAGUUAGAUUUAAUCAUCUGGAUUGAUUUUUCUUUAGUUCCAAUCUUUGCAAGAAACA